CGGGAAACCGGAGCUAAUACCGGAUAAUAUUUUGAACCGCAUGGUUCAAAAGUGAAAGACGGUCUUGCUGUCACUUAUAGAUGGAUCCGCGCUGCAUUAGCUGGUUGGUAAGGUAACGGCUUACCAAGGCAACGAUGCAUAGCCGACCUGAGAGGGUGAUCGGCCACACUGGAACUGAGACACGGUCCAG
rnacentral:rRNA from 1 species